GGGAAACGAUGUGGGAAGGCCCAGACAGCCAGGAUGUUGGCUUAGAAGCAGCCAUCAUUUAAAGAAAGCGUAAUAGCUCACUGGUCGAGUCGGCCUGCGCGGAAGAUGUAACGGGGCUAAACCAUGCACCGAAGCUGCGGCAGCGACACUCAGGUGUUGUUGGGUAGGGGAGCGUUCUGUAAGCCUGUGAAGGUGUGUCGUGAGGCAUGCUGGAGGUAUCAGAAGUG
rnacentral:rRNA from 2 species